GUGAUGAUUGAGUUUUAAUGUCCCGUGAAAUGUGCCUUCCACAAGACUUGCUAUGAUGUGGGCACAUC
rnacentral:snoRNA from 1 species